AUUGGUUUUAGUUCAAGUGGGAGUUGUUGAAAAAUAUGUCUUAAAGUCAAUCAUCUAGAUUGUAGAUGAUUGUGCUCCAUGAAUAUAUAUGAAUUAUAAAUUGAUAAAUGAUAUUUGAUAGAUUCAUCAUAAGGUAUACAUCUUUUUAAAUAGAAUUUAUGAUAAAGGAGGAUUUAUCAUGUAAUUCCUAAAUCCUGCUCGCGAUCA
rnacentral:lncRNA from 1 species